rnacentral:rRNA from 1 species
AUUCGUCAAAGUUUACUUUGACUUAGUGGCGGACGGGUGAGUAAUGUAUGAGCAACCUGCCUUUCAGUGGGGGACAACAGUUGGAAACGACUGCUAAUACCGCAUGAUGUCAAUUGGGGGCAUCCCCGAAUGACCAAAGGAUUUAUUCGCUGAAAGAUGGGCUCAUAUCUGAUUAGAUAGUUGGUGAGGUAACGGCUCACCAAGUCGACGAUCGGUAGCCGGACUGAGAGGUUGAACGGCCACAUUGGGACUGAGACACGGCCCAGACUCC